AAACAAUUGACUUUUCGGCAUUUGAAAUGUAGAGCUUGAGCGGUAUGCCUUCAAUUGGAGGCAUAAGCGUAGGAGGUUUGGUGAGAAACUGUUUAAUUCUCUCAAAAGCAGAUUGAUGUUUAUCUAGCCAGAUAAACUCAUCCUCCUUUAACUUUAGCAGGUCUCUGAACUCCUUCAUCUUGCCUACCAGGUUUGAGAUGAACCUUAUG
rnacentral:misc_RNA from 1 species